AUUGAACGCUGGCGGCAGGCCUAACACAUGCAAGUCGAGCGGAGCGGCGGACGGGUGAGUAAUGCCUAGGAAUCUGCCUGGCUGUGGGGGAUAACGUCCGGCAACGGGCGCUAAUACCGCAUCCUAUCAGAUGAGCCUAGGUAGGAUUAGCUAGUUGGUGGGGUAAAGGCCUACCAAGGCGGCGAUCCGUAUCUGGUCUGAGAGGAUGAUCAGUCACACUGGAACCUAGACACGGUCCGUACUCCUACGGGAGGAAGCAGUGGGGAAUAUUGGACAAUGGGCGAAAGCCUGACCCAGCCACGCCGCGUGUGUGAAGAAGGCCUUCGGAUUGUAAAGCACUUUAAGUUGAGAGGCGUUGCCGACAGAAGAAGCGCCGGCUAACUUCGUGCCAGCAGCCGCGGUAAUAC
rnacentral:rRNA from 1 species